UUACAAAAGCAACGACACCAUGUCGAAAUUGAAUGGACUUAUUUUGUGUAGCUUUUGUCUUUUAUCAUUUGUCAACAUAGAGGUCAACGGUCGACGAUGCGUAAUGGUGUGUCCUAGAACACCUGGUAUUGGAAUCGGUCCAUGUGGUAAAAAGUGUCCAAGCGCUGGUUGUGGCUCUGGAAAAAGUUGUUGUUUUAAUGGCUGCGGUCAUGAUUGUAAAAAGAAAGUUAAAACGUGCUUUGAAAUAUGGUCAUAGUUGCAAACACAGGGUGGACAGCAAACCGCCAUAUAUAAGGAAGUACAUUGUAUUUGUUUGAUAUCUCGCUACGAAAAUGUCAUGAAGACCUCAGUUCAGUAAAUUACUGUUUUAAUUAUCAAAGCUUUCAAGAUUUUAAGAUGAA